AUAUUAUAUUUUUGUGGGGGAGAUUUUCCCGUUUACGGCUGUUUUAAAGACCGGCGGCGCCCUUUGCAGCAGUUGUGGCCCACUACUCCGCCCUGUCUCAGCCCGCAGACUACUCCGGAGGUGCUCUAAAUGUAGUGUUCAUCAACAAAGCAGACCAUCGCUGAAACUGGCCUGAAAACUGGGACCCACACCGGCUAACGGCAACACCAACGUUCGGUGGAGACGGCGCUGCCCCAGUCAAUCACGCAGAUGUCGACAACGACGCCCUGCAUCUCCCCCAGCUACGACAGACUGCCCGAUUGUGCCGCUGCCGGUGUCCAGCAAGAAUAUCCGUGCCCAGCUCCCUGGGCGAACUCGCAGAAGCCUCGCAACAUUGCCUUGCAUGCCAUGAAAGCGAGGCGUCUGCUCAUCUCGACAGAUGUUGGCAGCCAUCAGGCCAUCAUUCGGGUCCGAGUCGAUGGCAAUGAGCGUAUGGAGCUGUAAGAAGUCACGGCGCUGGACCUGGACCAACAGUCCGAAGAAGUUGUAGACAUCAAUGGAAAGAACAAGUGAACAACAUUGCCGCCUAGGUGGAUUUGUGCACUGGCUGGGCGACAAGACCGGACUGGAGAGGAUCACUGUCAACGGAGAGCGUCGUUCCGUGGAGCUGCAUCUGUCUGUCGCAGUUCACCGACAUCCGGGCCGUGUGAACACUGGAUGCGAAAGUGCUGCGCAAUCACACGGCACAGUCGCACAAAUUAUUUCCACAACUGCAUAGCCAGCGGGGUGUGACACACAGUACUCACGACGUUUGCUCGUGCCCCCAGGACAAGGAGAACUACGGCGUGUAUCCGGCCAGAUAAUUUUAAGUAGCGGGAGUAGUGACAUAAACAACGACUGUAUAUCCGCCUUCUGGCGCUGUGACGAAAGGACUGCAGGGCGGAUCACUUCAGCUGACAGUCCGCCGAGGGCAGCGACAAGGCUCUGAUCUGCGAUGGUACCACCUAUGACAAUGUCCACGAUGAGGCCGACUGCUGCAAGCGGCCAGGAGAACUUCAUACUGAUAUGACAGUUUAUUAAUUCAGUUAUAGUAUUUAUGUGGCAGUCCAAUCGAAUGUAUAAAGUAUUCUAACUAAUGCAUAAA